AGAACUUAGCAGAGAUGCUUUGGUGCCUUCGGGGAACUCUGAGACAGGUGCUGCAUGGCUGUCGUCAGCUCGUGUUGUGAAAUGUUGGGUUAAGUCCCGCAACGAGCGCAACCCUUAUCCUUUGUUGCCAGCGGUCCGGCCGGGAACUCAAAGGAGACUGCCAGUGAUAAACUGGAGGAAGGUGGGGAUGACGUCAAGUCAUCAUGGCCCUUACGAGUAGGGCUACACACGUGCUACAAUGGCGCAUACAAAGAGAAGCGACCUCGCGAGAGCAAGCGGACCUCAUAAAGUGCGUCGUAGUCCGGAUUGGAGUCUGCAACUCGACUCCAUGAAGUCGGAAUCGCUAGUAAUCGUAGAUCAGAAUGCUACGGUGAAUACGUUCCCGGGCCUUGUACACACCGCCCGUCACACCAUGGGAGUGGGUUGCAAAAGAAGUAGGUAGCUUAACCUUCGGGAGGGCGCUUACCACUUUGUGAUUCAUGACUGGGGUGAAGUCGUAACAAGGUAGGCGUAGCGAG
rnacentral:rRNA from 1 species